GCCCAGCAGGAGGCAGAGCUGCUGCGAGAAGAAGACCCAGGAGAUCUGGGGCAGCGAGCUGUGCGUCUGACAGCGCAGGUCCAGCAGCGUGGGCCCCAGGAAGGCGAUGCACAGGCCGAAGCUGAAGAAGACGCUCCAGUAGGGUCUGGCUCUGUAACCCAGGCUUGAAUGCAGUGGCAUGAUGGGUGCAAUCUUGUUACCUGUUACUGGUCUCUUCAGGUUUUCUUUUUGGCUCAAUCUUGAGAUGGAGGCUCGUUUUGUUGCCCAGGCUGGAGUGCAGUGGCUAUUCACAGGCACAAUCAUCAUACACUGUAGCCUAGAACUCCUGGCCUCAAGCGAUUUUCCUGUCUCAGCCUACAAAGUUGCUGGAACUCUAGCUAUGAGCCUAGCAGUGAGGCCCAACUCAGUUUACAAGGCUUGCAAACCAGUAAGAAGCCUUUGCCUCCUGGUCACAGCCCUCACAGUGAAACAGAGAAGGUGGGUGAUGCCUGCUUCUACCCUCAGGGAAAGAUGACAUAACAACAGCUUACACUGUGUAAUGCUUUCUACAUGACCAGUAAAUUCUGCGUGCUCUUCUUCUUCUUAUUCUUCCUCUUCCUCUUCCUCUUCCUCCUCCUCC
rnacentral:lncRNA from 1 species